AGUCCCUUACUGACGCUAAUGCUCGAAAGUGCGGGUAUCGAACAGGAUUAGAUACCCUGGUAGUCCGCACGGUAAACGAUGGAUGCCCGCUGUGUGCGAUACAUUGUACGCGGCCAAGCGAAAGCGUUAAGCAUCCCACCUGGGGAGUACGCCGGCAACGGUGAAACUCAAAGGAAUUGACGGGGGCCCGCACAAGCGGAGGAACAUGUGGUUUAAUUCGAUGAUACGCGAGGAACCUUACCCGGGCUUGAACUGCAGCGGAAGGAUACAGAGAUGUUGACUCCCUUCGGGGCCGCUGUGGAGGUGCUGCAUGGUUGUCGUCAGCUCGUGCCGUGAGGUGUCGGCUUAAAUGCCAUAACGAGCGCAACCCCUGCCAGUAGUUGCCAUCGGGUGAUGCCGGGCACUCUGCUGGGACUGCCACCGUAAGGUGUGAGGAAGGUGGGGAUGACGUCAAAUCAGCACGGCCCUUACGUCCGGGGCUACACACGUGUUACAAUGGGUGGUACAGAGAGUCAGCGGGCCGCAAGUCCCGUUCAAUCAUGAAAGCCAUCCUCAGUUCGGAUUGGGGUCUGCAACCCGACCCCAUGAAGCUGGAUUCGC
rnacentral:rRNA from 1 species